rnacentral:rRNA from 1 species
GGGGAGUCUGGUUGCAAAGCUGAAACUUAAAGGAAUUGACGGAAAGGCACCACCAGGAGUGGAGCCUGCGGCUUAAUUUGACUCAACAAGGGAAACCUCACCCGGGCGGGACAGGGACAGGAUUGACAGAUUGAUAGCUCUUUCUCGAUUCCGUGGGUGGUGGUGCAUGGCCGUUCUUAGUUGGUGGAGCGAUUUGUCUGGUUAAUUCCG